rnacentral:rRNA from 1 species
GAUGAACGCUGGCGGCGUGCCUAAUACAUGCAAGUCGAGCGAACGGACGAGAAGCUUGCUUUUCUGAUGUUAGCGGCGGACGGGUGAGUAACACGUGGAUAACCUACCUAUAAGACUGGGAUAACUUCGGGAAACCGGAGCUAAUACCGGAUAAUAUUUUGAACCGCAUGGUUCAAAAGUGAAAGACGGUCUUGCUGUCACUUAUAGAUGGAUCCGCGCUGCAUUAGCUAGUUGGUAAGGUAACGGCUUACCAAGGCAACGAUGCAUAGCCGACCUGAGAGGGUGGUCGGCCACACUGGAACUGAGACACGGUCCAGACUCCUACGGGAGGCAGCAGUAGGGAAUCUUCCGCAAUGGGCGAAAGCCUGACGGAGCAACGCCGCGUGAGUGAUGAAGGUCUUCGGAUCGUAAAACUCUGUUAUUAGGGAAGAACAUAUGUGUAAGUAACUGUGCACAUCUUGACGGUACCUAAUCAGAAAGCCUCGGCUAACUACGUG